GUAUAUUUUAAGUACCUUCCCAAACAGUAAUAUCAUUGUGCUUAGAUGAAAGUAUCAUACCUGAUUUUUAAAUAAAAUCCAAUCUGUAGGACAUCCUCCAGGAGCUGAAGGAAAACUAAUCCAUGAAGGAUUGUUGGAAUGAUCAGUCUAACCUGGACCAGUCUAAGCCUUUCUUUGAAAAGCUGUUUUGGAGAGCGACAUGACCAUCAGCCAUCUUCUGUGACUUCAUAUGCUGGAACACAGAAGAGAAAUCUCUACAUUCGUCUCAGUUCUUACACAAAGCUGGUGGUGUUACAUCGCAUCACCCUUUAGUCCUCUCUUCCUCCCUCAGACAGAAUUUCUGUUUUGGCAAAAAUUUGCUUUUGUACAGAGCAGUGAAUAUUGCAAGUAUGUUACUUGUAGAGCUUCCUGUUAUGAUGGAAUGGAUUCAGCUUGAAUUUCUUCCUAAGGAGGAAAAACUGUACUCUGUAAGGAAUGAGAAGUAAAGCAAACGUUUCCAAACACUCCUUUUCCUCCUUCUCUGUCUGUGAAGCCAAUGUGAGCUACUAAAGUAAUUACAAACACUGCAAGAGGAAAGCUCUGAGUUUAUGCAGCAUCUAACAGACUGUAGAAGUCCCAUAAAAACUGGAAUCAAAUGACAUUAUAAAUAAAACAGGAAAAAGGAACAUGGCAAUUUAUCACCAGAAACCAACUAUAGUCAGGAGAGACCUUUCUCAUAUAUGUGUGACUUGGAUAAUAUCUGUAGCUGAAAGUAGUCCUUUGUCUUAUCACUUUUGUGAUGGUAUAACCUCAGGUUUUAUUUUGUUUUUUUUCCAAUCUGGUAUGAAGAAUAAUGAUUCAGAGUUACCCAUUUGCAAAAUAGACAUUUUUGGAAAUUCUUAUACACUUUUU